rnacentral:rRNA from 2 species
ACAUUUUNGGAAAAACGANCCNANCCNGAGCUUGCUUGGGAGAGUAAAGUGGCGCACGGGUGAGUAACGCGCGGGUAACCCACCUUNGAAUCUGGGAUAACUCCGUGAAAGCGGUGCUAAUACCGGAUAAGACCACAGCCGUUUCGGCGGCAGAGGUAAAAGCUGACCUCUCCAUGGAAGUUAGCGUUCGAGGACGGGCCCGCGUCCUAUNAGCUUGUUGGUGGGGUAAUGGCCUACCAAGGCAGCGACGGGUANAUGGUCUGAGAGGAUGAUCAGCCACACUGGAACUGGAACACGGUCCAUACUCCUACGGGAGGCAGCAGUGAGGAAUUUUGCGCAAUAGGGGGAAAGCCUGACGCAGCANCGCCGCGUGGGUGAA